AACAUACAAUUUAUUCUUUAAUAAUAUUUCGCAUAACUUGUUAAACUUUGACUCCAACCUUUUUAUCGAUCGUAAAACACUUGCAAAUUAAAUUCAAGUCAUAAAUUCAGAUUUGAAAUACAACAUUACAAAAGUAGGUCGCGCCGCGUAUGUUGCGCUCUGAGGAAGCCGAAAAUGAAUUUAUUUGUCUUCUGUAUCUUGAUACUGAUGAGUAUCGUGAGCGCGGUUCCGCAGGUCCCGUACGACUAUAUCCCGCUGGGACGCAAGUCAGCGCCGAAUAACCAUCCGUCCGACGUCAACCUUAACUAUGAGCGACUGUAUCCUUCGCGCCGCAAAUAUGUUGAUUAAACACCAAUAAAU